rnacentral:rRNA from 1 species
UACGUAGGGGGCAAGCGUUGUCCGGAAUUAUUGGGCGUAAAGAGCGUGUAGGCGGUCCGGUAAGUCGGCUGUGAAAGUCCAGGGCUCAACCCUGGGAUGCCGGUCGAUACUGCCGGACUAGAGUUCGGAAGAGGCGAGUGGAAUUCCCGGUGUAGCGGUGAAAUGCGCAGAUAUCGGGAGGAACACCUAUGGCGAAGGCAGCUCGCUGGGGACGUUUACUGACGCUGAGACGCGAAAAGCGUGGGGGGAGCAAAACAGG